rnacentral:piRNA from 1 species
CCCGGGGGAAGACGUGUUCUGCAG